ACUCAUGACUAUGAAGUCAAGAUGCGCAACGUGGUGAAAUUCCUGGAAAAAGGCGACAAGGUUAAAGUGACCCUGCGCUUCCGCGGUCGUGAAAUGGCACACCAGAACCUUGGGCGUGAGCUUUUGGAGCGUGUGGCAGAAGACAUCAAGGAAAUCGGCAAGGUUGAAAACAUGCCGAAGAUGGAAGGCCGCCAGAUGGUGAUGAUGAUCGGACCGGCACCGAAAUAAGGGCCCGCCAGAUCAGGUUAGAUUGAAAACGCCUCGCUUUUGCGGGGCGUUUUUUGUUGGCGGAGCAAGAACGUCCCUC
rnacentral:misc_RNA from 1 species